GUGGGGAAUAUUGCGCAAUGGGCGAAAGCCUGACGCAGCAACGCCGCGUGAGUGAUGAAGGCCUUCGGGUUGUAAAGCUCUUUCGGCCGGGAAGAAGGGUGUGCGAGUGAACAAUUCGUACAUUUGAUGGUACCGGAAGAAGAAGCACCGGCUAACUUCGUGCCAGCAGCCGCGGUAAUACGAAGGGUGCGAGCGUUGUUCGGAAUUACUGGGCGUAAAGGGUUCGUAGGCGGGAGCUUAAGUCAAGUGUGAAAUCCCCAAGCUUAACUUGGGACGUGCAUUUGAAACUGGGCUUCUUGAGUGUUGGAGAGGGUGACGGAAUUGCUGGUGUAGGAGUGACAUCCGUAGAGAUCAGCAGGAACACCGGAGGCGAAGGCGGUUACCUGGCCAAACACUGACGCUGAGGAACGAAAGCGUGGGGAGCAAACAGGAUUAGAAACCCGUGUAGUCC
rnacentral:rRNA from 1 species